rnacentral:misc_RNA from 1 species
GAUGAAGAACGCAGCGAAAUGCGAUAAGUAAUGCGAAUUGCAGAAUUCCAGUGAGUCAUCGAAUCUUUGAACGCACAUUGCGCCCUUUGGUAUUCCGAAGGGCAUGCCUGUUCGAGCGUCAUUAUCACCCCUCAAGCCCCCGGCUUGGUGUUGGACGGCUUGGUGGAGACCCUUUUGUGGCCCACACCUCCCAAAGACAAUGACGGCGGCCUCGUUGGACCCCCGGUACACUGAGUUCUUCACGGGACACGUAUCGGACACACGGGUUUACGGGUCACGGUCUGCCUCCCCUCAGGGAGAACUUUUCUAAGGUUGACCUCGGAUCAGGUAGGGAUACCCGCUGAACUUAAGCAUAUCAAUAAGCGGAGGA